UUAUGAGCCUGAAUACCAUGAAGGGACCGGAUCCCGUCUAAUCUUGGAAGCUAAACAGGGUCAGGCCUGAUUACUACUUGGGUUGGGGAUGUCCAAGGGAUAGCAGGUGCUACUUUAG
rnacentral:rRNA from 1 species